UACGUAGGUGGCAAGCGUUGUCCGGAUUUACUGGGCGUAAAGGGCGCGUAGGCGGCCACCGCAAGUCGACUGUGAAAUCUCCGGGCUUAACCCGGAAAGGUCAGCCGAUACUGCGGGGCUAGAGUGCAGAAGGGGCAACUGGAAUUCUCGGUGUAGCGGUGAAAUGCGUAGAUAUCGAGAGGAACACCUGCGGCGAAGGCGGGUUGCUGGGCUGACACUGACGCUGAAGCGCGAAAGCUAGGGGAGCGAACGGG
rnacentral:rRNA from 1 species